rnacentral:misc_RNA from 1 species
UUGAGAGUUUUAACUGAGCAUUAUUGGCCAAGCAAGGUUGGUGAAUUGUCACCAAUCCUUUUUCUUUCAGGGCUCAUCUAUUUAAGGCAAAGUAUUUUCCUCGAUCAAGCUUCUUUGAUGCUCAGCUAGGAGCCAUGCCAAGUUUCACUUGGUGAUGGUCGGGAUGUUCAGGUUGGGCUUGAUAAAUGGAUCCCUCAACUAAUAUCUUUCCAAGUUAUAAUGCCACAAAGAAUUUUGCUCAUUGAUCCUACUGUGUCAUCCUUGAUAAAUGCUGAAGCUAGAAUGUGGGAUUGGGAUUUAAUUUCUAGUAUUUUCUUACCUGUUGAUGUGUAUAGGAUUCGGGCUAUUCCUUUAAGUACUGUACCGAGGCCUGAUGCUUUGGUAUGGCAUUAUCAUUCCACUACUAAUUACAUCUUUAAGAGUGGCUAUAUGAUAGCGCACCAGCUGAUUCAUUCAGCAAUGGAAGGU